GGAUUAGGCAUGCAAGUCGAACGGUAAAAUGGCUUCGGUCAUUGAGAGUGGCGGACGGGUGCGUAACGCGUACACAACCUACCUUUAAGAGUGGAAUAGCCUCGGGAAACUGAGAUUAAUACCGCAUAGUAUCAUCAGGCUGCCUAGUCAGAUGAUUAAAACUCCGGUGCUUAAAGAUGGGUGUGCGUCCGAUUAGGUAGUUGGUAGGGUAACGGCCUACCAAGCCGACGAUCGGUAGCUGGUCUGAGAGGAUGAUCAGCCACACGGGCACUGAGACACGGGCCCGACUCCUACGGGAGGCAGCAGUAGGGAAUAUUGGGCAAUGGGCGCAAGCCUGACCCAGCCAUGCCGCGUGCAGGACGAAGGCGCUAUGCGUUGUAAACUGCUUUUGUCAAGGGAGAAGGAAUGAUAUGAAUAUUGUUUUUGACGGUACUUGAUGAAUAAGCACCGGCUAACUACGUGCCAGCAGCCGCGGUAAUA
rnacentral:rRNA from 1 species